UGUAGCUCAGUGGUAGAGCACUUUCCUAGCACGUAUGAGGCCCUGGGUUGGAUCCCCAGCA
rnacentral:tRNA from 1 species